UGUGACUGCGUACCUUUUGUAUAAUGGGUCAGCGACUUAUAUUCUGUAGCAAGGUUAACCGAAUAGGGGAGCCGGAGGGAAACCGAGUCUUAACCGGGCGUUAAGUUGCAGGGUAUAGACCCGAAACCCGGUGAUCUAGCCAUGGGCAGGUUGAAGGUUGGGUAACACUAACUGGAGGACCGAACCGACUAAUGUUGAAAAAUUAGCGGAUGACCUGUGGCUGGGGGUGAAAGGCCAAUCAAACCGGGAGAUAGCUGGUUCUCCCCGAAAGCUAUUUAGGUAGCGCCUCGUGAACUCAUCUCCGGGGGUAGAGCACUGUUUCGGCUAGGGGGCCAUCCCGGCUUACCAACCCGAUGCAAACUGCGAAUACCGGAGAAUGUUAUCACGGGAGACACACGGCGGGUGCUAACGUCCGUCGUGAAGAGGGAAACAACCCAGACCGCCAGCUAAGGUCCCAAAGUCAUGGUUAAGUGGGAAACGAUGUGGGAAGGCCCAGACAGCCAGGAUGUUGGCUUAGAAGCAGCCAUCAUUUAAAGAAAGCGUAAUAGCUCACUGGUCGAGUCGGCCUGCGCGGAAGAUGUAACGGGGCUAAACCAUGCACCGAAGCUGCGGCAGCGACACUCAGGUGUUGUUGGGUAGGGGAGCGUUCUGUAAGCCUG
rnacentral:rRNA from 1 species